rnacentral:rRNA from 1 species
CAGCAGCCGCCGCGGUAAUACGGAGGGUGCAAGCGUUAAUCGGAAUUACUGGGCGUAAAGCGCACGCAGGCGGUUUGUUAAGUCAGAUGUGAAAUCCCCGAGCUUAACUUGGGAACUGCAUUUGAAACUGGCAAGCUAGAGUCUUGUAGAGGGGGGUAGAAUUCCAGGUGUAGCGGUGAAAUGCGUAGAGAUCUGGAGGAAUACCGGUGGCGAAGGCGGCCCCCUGGGCCAAUACUGACGCUCAUGCACGAAAGCGUGGGGAACAAACAGGAUUAGAUACCCGCGUAGUCCCUGUCUCUUAUAC